rnacentral:rRNA from 1 species
GCCUCUCGCGUCAGGAUAUGCCCAGGUGGGAUUAGCUAGUUGGUGAGGUAAUGGCUCACCAAGGCGACGAUCCCUAGCUGGUCUGAGAGGAUGAUCAGCCACACUGGAACUGAGACACGGUCCAGACUCCUACGGGAGGCAGCAGUGGGGAAUAUUGCACAAUGGGCGCAAGCCUGAUGCAGCCAUGCCGCGUGUAUGAAGAAGGCCUUCGGGUUGUAAAGUACUUUCAGUCGUGAGGAAGGGGGUAUCGUUAAUAGCGGUAUUCUUUGACGUUAGCGACAGAAGAAGCACCGGCUAACUCCGUGCCAGCAGCCGCGGUAAUACGGAGGGUGCGAGCGUUAAUCGGAAUUACUGGGCGUAAAGCGCAUGCAGGUGGUUUGUUAAGUCAGAUGUGAAAGCCCGGGGCUCAACCUCGGAGUUGCAUUUGAAACUGGCAGGCUAGAGUACUGUAGAGGGGGGUAGAAUUUCAGGUGUAGCGGUGAAAUGCGUAGAGAUCUGAAGGAAUACCGGUGGCGAAGGCGGCCCCCUGGACAGAUACUGACACUCAGAUGCGAAAGCGUGGGGAGCAAACAGGAUUAGAUACCCUGGUAGUCCACGCUGUAAACGAUGUCUACUUGGAGGUUGUGGCCUUGAGCCGUGGCUUUCGGAGCUAACGCGUUAAGUAGACCGCCUGGGGAGUACGGUCGCAAGAUUAAAACUCAAAUGAAUUGACGGGGGCCCGCACAAGCGGUGGAGCAUGUGGUUUAAUUCGAUGCAACGCGAAGAACCUUACCUACUCUUGACAUCYACAGGAUCCUGCGGAGACGCGGGAGUGCCUUCGGGAACUGUAAGACAGGUGCUGCAUGGCUGUCGUCAGCUCGUGUUGUGAAAUGUUGGGUUAAGUCCCGCAACGAGCGCAACCCUUAUCCUUGUUUGCCAGCGAGUAAUGUCGGGAACUCCAGGGAGACUGCCGGUGAUAAACCGGAGGAAGGUGGGGACGACGUCAAGUCAUCAUGGCCCUUACGAGUAGGGCUACACACGUGCUACAAUGGCGCAUACAGAGGGCGGCGAGCUAGCGAUAGUGAGCGAAUCCCAAAAAGUGCGUCGUAGUCCGGAUUGGAGUCUGCAACUCGACUCCAUGAAGUCGGAAUCGCUAGUAAUCGUGGAUCAGAAUGCCACGGUGAAUACGUUCCCGGGCCUUGUACACACCGCCCGUCACACCAUGGGAGUGGGCUGCAAAAGAAGCAGGUAGUUUAACCUU